UACGGAAGGCAGCAGUGAGGAAUAUUGGUCAAUGGGUGCAAGCCUGAACCAGCCAUCCCGCGUGAAGGACGACUGCCCUAUGGGUUGUAAACUUCUUUUGUAUAGGGAUAAACCUACCCUCGUGAGGGUAGCUGAAGGUACUAUACGAAUAAGCACCGGCUAACUCCGUGCCAGCAGCCGCGGUAAUACGGAGGGUGCAAGCGUUAUCCGGAUUUAUUGGGUUUAAAGGGUCCGUAGGCGGACUUAUAAGUCAGUGGUGAAAGCCUGUCGCUUAACGAUAGAACUGCCAUUGAUACUGUAAGUCUUGAGUAUAUUUUGAGGUAGCUGGAAUAAGUAGUGUAGCGGUGAAAUGCAUAGAUAUUACUUAGAACACCAAUUGCGAAGGCAGGUUACCAAGAUAUAACUGACGCUGAGGGACGAAAGCGUGGGGAGCGAACAGGGAUUAGAUACC
rnacentral:rRNA from 1 species